AUGGCCUCCUCGGGCGGGGGCGGCGGCGGCGGCGAGACGGAGGACCGGCGCCGGGGCCGCCGGCGCCGCCGCAAGGUGCUUCUCAGCAAGCUCUACACCUUCGCGGCCUGCGCGCGCCGGCCCAGCGCCGUGGACGACGAGGGGUCCCGGAUCGGCGGGCCGGGCUUCUCGCGGGUGGUCCACGCCAACGACGCCGCCGCCGCCGCGGACGCCGCGGCGGCCGGCGGGUACCGGUCCAACUACGUCUCCACCACCAAGUACAGCGCGGUGACCUUCAUCCCCAAGUCGCUGUUCGAGCAGUUCCGGCGGGUGGCCAACAUCUACUUCCUCGUCGUCGCCUGCCUCUCCUACACCCCCAUCGCGCCCUUCCGGGGCGCCACCGCCGUCGGGCCGCUCGUCCUCGUCCUCCUCGUCACCAUGGUCAAGGAGGCCAUCGAGGACUGGCGCCGCAAGCAGCAGGACAUUGAGGUGAACAACAGGAAGACAAAGGUGUUCCAGGACGGCGCGUUCCGGCACACCAAGUGGACCAAGCUCCGGGUCGGCGACGUCGUCAAGGUCGAGAAGGACGAGUUCUUCCCCGCCGACCUCGUCCUCCUCUCCUCCAGCUACGACGACGCCAUCUGCUACGUCGAGACCAUGAACCUCGACGGCGAGACCAACCUCAAGCUCAAGCAGUCCCUCGACGUCACCUCGCGCCUGCAGGACGACGACAGCUUCCGUGGCUUUGGUGCGGUGAUACGGUGCGAGGACCCGAAUGCAAACCUCUACUCUUUUGUCGGCAACAUAGAGAUUGAAGAGCAGCAGCAGCAGUACCCUCUGUCGCCCCAGCAGCUCCUGCUCAGGGACUCCAAGCUCCGCAACACCGAGUAUGUGUACGGCGUGGUGGUUUUCACUGGCCACGACACAAAGGUGAUGCAGAAUGCCACCAGUGCUCCCUCCAAGAGGAGCAAGAUUGAGAAGAAGAUGGAUGGCGCCAUUUACGUCCUUAUGUCCAUCCUCGUCCUCAUUUCGGUCAUCGGCUCCGUCGUCUUUGGCCUUGCGACCAAGCAUGAUUUGGUGGAUGGCAGGAUGAAAAGGUGGUACCUCAGGCCAGAUAACCCCGACAACAUCUACGAUCCCAACAACCCGGCCGUGUCGGCGGCGCUGCAUUUCUUCACGGCCAUGAUCCUUUACGGCUACUUCAUCCCCAUCUCCCUCUACGUCUCCAUCGAGCUCGUCAAGCUGCUGCAGGCUCUCUUCAUCAACAGCGACAUCCAUAUGUACCAUGAGGAGAGCGACACGCCGGCGCAUGCCAGGACGUCCAACUUGAACGAGGAGCUCGGCCAGGUCUACACGAUCCUCACCGAUAAGACCGGGACUCUGACCUGCAACUCCAUGGAGUUCAUCAAAUGUUCCAUCGCGGGCACGGCGUACGGGCGUGGAAUCACCGAGGUCGAGAAAGCCAUGGCAAAGAGAAACGGUUCCCCCGUGAUAUCUGAUUUUGAGCUCGGCGUCGAAGACUUCCAUCAGUCCGAGGGAAGAUCUGCGAUCAAAGGAUUUAACUUCAGAGAUGAGCGUGUCAUGGAUGGUAACUGGGUUCACCAACAACACUCGGGUGUGAUCGAGAUGUUCUUCCGGUUGCUGGCCAUCUGCCACACAUGCAUACCGGAGGUCGACGAAGUGACAGGGAAGAUCUCGUACGAAGCAGAGUCUCCCGAUGAGGCUGCCUUUGUUGUCGCGGCACAUGAACUUGGUUUCACUUUUUACCAAAGGACGCAGGCAGGUGUUUAUCUGCAUGAGUUGGAUCCCUCCUCUGGAGAACAAGUUGACAGGUUUUAUAAGGUCUUGCAUGUCCUUGAGUUCAGCAGUGCUCGGCGGCGGAUGUCGGUAAUAGUCAAGGACGAGGAGGGGAAAACAUUUAUCUUCAGUAAAGGUGCCGACAGUAUAAUGUACGAGAGGCUGUCAAACUCUGAGAGUACAUAUAGUGAAGCGACGCAGAAGCACAUAAAUGAUUACGCCGAUGCUGGCCUGAGAACACUGGUUCUUGCAUACCGUCAACUUGAGGAGAUCGAAUACGCUAAAUUCGAAAGGAAGUUCACUGCAGCUAAGAAUUCUGUCAGCGCUGAUCGAGAUGAGCUCAUCGACGAGGCUGCAGAUUUGAUAGAGAGGGAUUUGAUUCUUCUUGGCGCCACCGCCGUUGAGGACAAGCUGCAAAAGGGGGUACCUGACUGCAUCGACAAACUUGCUAAGGCUGGCAUCAAGAUAUGGGUGCUGACGGGUGACAAGAUGGAGACCGCCAUCAACAUCGGAUAUGCAUGCAGUCUACUCAGACAAGGGAUGAAACAAAUAACCAUCACACUGGAUACACCAGAUAUCAUUGCCUUGGAGAAAGGUGGUGACAAAGGAGCCAUUAAUAAGGCGUCAAAGGUCAGCGUGGUGCAGCAAAUCAAUGAAGGAAAGAAACUCAUAAAUGCAUCUGGCAAUGAAUCAUUUGCUUUGAUCAUUGACGGGAAGUCACUUACAUAUGCGCUCAAAGACGACACCAAGGCCGCGUUCCUUGAUCUCGCGAUCGCCUGUGGGUCAGUCAUUUGCUGCCGUUCUUCCCCAAAGCAGAAGGCUCUUGUCACGAGGCUGGUCAAAACCGGCACCGGUAAAGUUACGCUGGCAAUUGGCGAUGGUGCGAAUGAUGUAGGCAUGAUUCAGGAGGCAGAUAUCGGGGUUGGGAUCAGCGGUGCCGAAGGGAUGCAGGCCGUCAUGGCGAGCGACGUUUCCAUUGCGCAGUUCCGCUUCCUUGAGCGCCUACUACUUGUCCAUGGGCAUUGGUGUUAUAGCAGGAUCUCAUCAAUGGUAUGCUACUUCUUAUAUAAGAACAUCACGUUCGGCGUGACCCUGUUCCUGUACGAGUCCUUGUCGACAUUUUCUGGCCAAACUUUGUACAACGACUGGUCCAUGUCGCUCUACAACGUCCUUUUCACGUCGCUGCCUGUGAUCGCCAUGGGCGUGUUCGACCAAGAUGUUUCCGCCCGGUUCUGUCUCAAGUACCCGAUGCUCUACCAGGAGGGUCCUCAGAACCUGCUCUUCCGGUGGUCAAGGCUCCUAGGCUGGAUGCUGCACGGCGUCGGCAGCGCCGUGAUCAUCUUCUUCCUCACAAUCGCGUCGCUCAAGCACCAGGCGUUCCGCAAAGACGGCGAGGUCAUAGACCUCUCGAUCCUCGGCGCGACCGCCUACACGUGCGUUGUCUGGGCCGUCAACAUGCAGAUGGCAAUCACGGUGAACUACUUCACCCUCAUCCAGCACAUCUGCAUCUGGAGCGGCAUCUUCCUAUGGUACGUACUAUCUCUCUAUCUAGCGACGACAACUAAAAUUAACCAGACCAACUCACUCACUAUUUUUCUGACCAAACUGACAAUACCACUCUUUCUGCUGCCUUGCAGGUACCUGUUCCUCAUAAUCUACGGCGCCAUCACGCCGUCCUUCUCGACCACAUUCUUCAUGGUGUUCUCGGAGGCGCUGGGGGGCGCGCCGGCCUACUGGGUGGUGACCCUGCUGGUGGCCGUGGCGGCGCUCAUCCCCUACUUCACCCUGGCGGUGGUGAAGACGUGGUUCUUCCCGGACUACCACAACAAGAUCCAGUGGCUGCAGCACGCGGCCAAGCAUGCGGACCCCGAGGAGGAGCUGGGCGUCGUCCUGCGCCAGUUCUCCGUCAGGUCCACCGGGGUGGGCGUGUCGGCGCGCCGCGACGCCAAGCUCGUCCGCACCAACAGCAAGGUCAUCCACGCGGACUCAUCGUCGCAAUCACAAGCCACCGUUGAGCUGACUUAG
rnacentral:rRNA from 1 species